GACGAACGCUGGCGGCGUGCUUAACACAUGCAAGUCGAACGGAAAGGCCCUGCUUUUGUGGGGUGCUCGAGUGGCGAACGGGUGAGUAACACGUGAGUAACCUGCCCUUGACUUUGGGAUAACUUCAGGAAACUGGGGCUAAUACCGGAUAGGAGCUCCUGCUGCAUGGUGGGGGUUGGAAAGUUUCGGCGGUUGGGGAUGGACUCGCGGCUUAUCAGCUUGUUGGUGGGGUAGUGGCUUACCAAGGCUUUGACGGGUAGCCGGCCUGAGAGGGUGACCGGCCACAUUGGGACUGAGAUACGGCCCAGACUCCUACGGGAGGCAGCAGUGGGGAAUAUUGCACAAUGGGCGGAAGCCUGAUGCAGCAACGCCGCGUGCGGGAUGACGGCCUUCGGGUUGUAAACCGCUUUCGCCUGUGACGAAGCGUGAGUGACGGUAAUGGGUAAAGAAGCACCGGCUAACUACGUGCCAGCAGCCGCGGUGAUACGUAGGGUGCGAGCGUUGUCCGGAUUUAUUGGGCGUAAAGGGCUCGUAGGUGGUUGAUCGCGUCGGAAGUGUAAUCUUGGGGCUUAACCCUGAGCGUGCUUUCGAUACGGGUUGACUUGAGGAAGGUAGGGGAGAAUGGAAUUCCUGGUGGAGCGGUGGAAUGCGCAGAUAUCAGGAGGAACACCAGUGGCGAAGGCGGUUCUCUGGGCCUUUCCUGACGCUGAGGAGCGAAAGCGUGGGGAGCGAACAGGCUUAGAUACCCUGGUAGUCCACGCUGUAAACGGUGGGUACUAGGUGUGGGGUCCAUUCCACGGGUUCCGUGCCGUAGCUAACGCUUUAAGUACCCCGCCUGGGGAGUACGGCCGCAAGGCUAAAACUCAAAGGAAUUGAAGGGGCCCCGCACAAGCGGCGGAGCAUGCGGAUUAAUUCGAUGCAACGCGUAGAACCUUACCUGGGUUUGACAUGGAUCGGGAGUGCUCAGAGAUGGGUGUGCCUCUUUUGGGGUCGGUUCACAGGUGGUGCAUGGCUGUCGUCAGCUCGUGUCGUGAGAUGUUGGGUUAAGUCCCGCAACGAGCGCAACCCUUGUUCACUGUUGCCAGCACGUUAUGGUGGGGACUCAGUGGAGACCGCCGGGGUCAACUCGGAGGAAGGUGGGGAUGACGUCAAGUCAUCAUGCCCCUUAUGUCCAGGGCUUCACGCAUGCUACAAUGGCUGGUACAGAGAGUGGCGAGCCUGUGAGGGUGAGCGAAUCUCGGAAAGCCGGUCUCAGUUCGGAUUGGGGUCUGCAACUCGACCUCAUGAAGUCGGAGUCGCUAGUAAUCGCAGAUCAGCAACGCUGCGGUGAAUACGUUCCCGGG
rnacentral:rRNA from 1 species